CAAUGGGGUUUUACAAAUGACCUGCGGAGGGCAGCAAUACGGCUUUGCUGCGUGUAGUCUGCCGCAAAUUUAAUUAGACGAAGAAGAAGCGUCAGCAUCAGCAGCAGCAGCAGCAGACGAAGAAGAACAACAACGAGAAGAAGAAGAAAAAGAAGAAGAACGGCUGCAGAUGUGAGUAGACCAUGACGGCUAAACCAGCAUAUUAACUGCCAUCAAAUAUCUACAAAAUAGACCAACAAUGAAUCUGGAUCCCCUCCCACACCCUGCACUUCAGUGGACAACAUAAAGGAAAAAACACCUGAAAAACAACUUUGAAGUAACUAAAUUGUAGCUACAGAGGGAGCUGCUUAAUUAUUAGCUUGACUGACAGUUGGGAUUGUCUUCCAGCUUCAGAAGAGACAGUCAACACCUGCACCUCUAAUAUGAGUGAGUUAACAGACUUUGUCAGAGGCCAAAUAGUCGGUGCCCAAGUUGCAGGUCUGUCGGUCAGAGAUACCGCCCAGUUAUGUGGUGUGUCAAGUCGAACAGUCAUUAAAGUCAUGAGUGUGUAUAACAAACACGGAUAUACUUCAUCAGCAAAGAAGAACCGUAGGCACAAGCCACAGAUGAAAGGGAUGAGUCAGACAGAAGCUGGUGGUGGUGGAGGAGCCGCCAGUGAGAAACCAGUAUCUGACUCUGAAGUCGACACACUAGCGCUUGAUGAAGAGAGUAAAAGACUUGAAUCCCAGACCAAAGAACAAGUGUAAUUUGGUCUCAUGUACUGUAUUUCAGACUUUGUCUCAUAUCUAGAGUGGUUAAUGUUUGCAUAAAGCCACAGGACGCCUUCAUUUAACCCACAGCGUCACCCACUGCUGAACAUUGUCAUGAAUCUAUAAUCCCAUUUCAGGGUCUUGGUUCAAUCAUUUUUCAGAGUGGCUGGAUGAUGAGCAUGUUAUAUGCAACUAUGAGGUCAGCUAAUGUACAUUUCCAAACAAAAACAACAAAUUUGUAAAUUUUAUUUAAUACAAGUUUUUUUAAGAGAAAUGGGAACAGAGAGAGAAAUGUCCAUAAUGCACACUUCUAUGGUACAUAAACACUGACUUUCUUUUAAGUUUUAAAUUGACAAAUGGAUUCAUGUGUUUGUUUAUGGGUUUCUGAAUAAUGUCACUAUUUAGUUGAGAGGGAAUUCAGAGGAAAAACUAGGAAAGGGAUGGAAAGAAACUAGAAAGAAGUAACGUUGUUGGGGUGGACCUGAUUUUGUUCAUUUAAACUCACUAAAGUGUGGUGUAUUUUUUUGUUUGUUUUUGUGGAGCAGUAAUAAAAAUACUAUUGCAUCUAAUCCAUGCAAUAUGAUUUCAUUAAAGGACAGGUUCACAAUUUUUAUGUCUUAAAACAACAGUGAAGUGUCCAUAUGAACAAUCACAGAAGUUUUCCUUGCUGUAAUCAUUCCUCCUGUUCAUACUAGCUAUUAAAAUUAAUUGACUAUGAUGUCAUCCUUAAGCUAGCCUCUCUAUUGUCUAAUCAGAGAUGGCCCUUCUUUUCUUUUCUUCACCAUUUUACCUACAUUUUGUGUUUUUUUUCUUUAUGAUUUCAAAAAUUGUCCACUGUUUUCAUUUUAUCUUGAUUUGUAUUGUAUGUAUUUUGUGUUAAUGUGGACAGCAGGAAGAGUAGCUGUUGCCUGGUGUAAUGGCUAAUGGGGAUCCUAAUAAACUAAAUUAAAAGAU